rnacentral:ncRNA from 2 species
ACAUAUCGUGUAAGAAUUGGUGCCAAACUGCGGUUUGGCUUAAAAGGGAAGAACGGUGUAAUUCCGUCGCUGUCCCGCAACUGUAAAUCGGAGUAACUCACAGUUACCACUGUCUUUGAUGAUGGGAAGGUGUGAGAAGCAUUGAUGAUAAGCCAGGAGACCUGCCAAUUCCUAGUACACACC